AAAGGAAUUGACGGGGGCCCGCACAAGCGGAGGAGCAUGUGGUUUAAUUCGAUGAUACGCGAGGAACCUUACCCGAACUUGAACGUAUGAUGAAUAAUUUAAGAGAUUAGAUUAGUUAGCAAUAACAUUAUACGAGGUGCUGCAUGGUUGUCGUCAGCUCGUGCCGUGAGGUGUCAGGUUAAGUCCUAUAACGAGCGCAACCCCUGCACAUAGUUACCAGCACGUUAAGGUGGGGACUCUAUGUGGACUGCCGGCGCAAGCUGCGAGGAAGGCGGGGAUGACGUCAAAUCAGCACGGCCCUUACGUUCGGGGCGACACACGUGCUACAAUGGCAGGUACAGAGGGCAGCGACACAGUGAUGUGGAGCGAAUCUCGAAAGCCUGUCUCAGUUCGGAUCGGAGUCUGCAACCCGACUUCGUGAAGAUGGAUUCGCUAGUAAUCGCAGAUCAGCCAUGCUGCGGUGAAUACGUUCCCGGGCCUUGUACACACCGCCCGU
rnacentral:rRNA from 1 species